rnacentral:rRNA from 1 species
AUACGGAGGGUGCAAGCGUUGUUCGGAAUUACUGGGCGUAAAGCGCGCGUAGGCGGUCUGUUAUGUCAGAUGCGAAAGUCCUCGGCUCAACCGGGGAAGUGCAUUUGAAACUGGCAGACUUGAGUACUGGAGGGGGUGGUGGAAUUCCCGGUGUAGAGGUGAAAUUCGUAGAUAUCGGGAGGAAUACCGGUGGCGAAGGCGACCACCUGGCCAGGUACUGACGCUGAGGUGCGAAAGCGUGGGGAGCAAACAGGAUUAGAAACCCCAGUAGUCC